UCAUCUGUACCUCUAGCAAGCAU
rnacentral:piRNA from 1 species